rnacentral:lncRNA from 1 species
GGCCUCCGGCUGGGGCCACCCAGGCAACCGAUAUACACAGAGAACCACGUGGAGGAAAAGCACGCGAGUUUGGAGCGGGUGGAGCAGGAACAGAGGUGGACUGGAAUGUCACACGACGGGGCAGCUGGAAGGGCACCACUGAGUUCAGUACUUCAAAAUUGCCGUGCUCUACCUCUCCCCAGUGCACAAAAACACUCUCCACACCAAGCUGCUGCUGCUGGGGGAUGGAGGGAUGGCGUCAGCGAUUCAAGACUGUUUUUCCUACCUGUUCAGCACUUCUUUCAGCGAUAUGAAGUUAAAUCCAGGCCAAGUUCCCACCUGGUGGGAAGCACUGUGCAGGUUCGUGGGGAUGCAGCCCUGCACAGCCCAGACUGGACUCCUUCCCCAUGGAACUCACAACACACGGGAGAGGCAGAGAGAUCCAAGCGCACAGAAAAACACAAGAAGAUUCAGCCCUGUCAUCUUGUGCAAAAGUCACACAGGCUAGAGUGCAGUGGCAUGAUCUCAGCUCCCCACAACCUCUGCCUCCGAUGUUCAAGCGAUUCUCCUGUCUCAGCCUCCUGAGUAGCUGGAAUUACAGGGCAUGCUUUCUCGCCUGCCGGCCUUCCACCAUGGGAUGAAGCAGCAAGAAGGCUCUUGCCAGAGGCAGACCCCUCGACCUUGGACUUCCCAGCCCCCAGAACUGUAAGAAAUAAAUCUCUCUUCUUUAUAUAUU